GGACGACACCUGUCAAAUACAAUAAAUCGUCACUCAGCGCACAACUCAUUUACGAUCCUUUUUUCAAGGUUGCUCCAACGUCUAUGCACGAAGAAUAAAUUCCAUCAGAGAAUUUAAUCUGCUUGCAGCACGCUCCUUCCAAGGCUGCGUGGACCACACGAUCUUGGCCUCCCGGAAAUGAUCGUUUUGUCGUCCCAACGUGGUAGCCAGUUUUUCAAAAUUUGACUUUUGUGGGCGGAUUAAUAGAACUGUCAAAAAAUGGUGCAGGCAUCGGUCGGAUUGCCGGUUUUUCGAGGCUACAUUCUCUGGGACCAUGCUGAGGAAUUUGGUUUGGAAACGUCAGAAAAUAUUGGUCUAGGAACGUUUUCACAUACUCGAGAAGUUAUGGGACUAUAAUUAUGCGCCCCCCGCAUGACCUCGAGGCUCUCUGAACCUGGGGUUGCUAACGACGUCGAUGGAACCUACGAUCAAAUCUUUGGCACUGUGACCCCCAUUCGUUCUUCAGACACCAAAUAUCCAAAGGACAGUCGCAAGAGCAGCGUCCAGUCGGAAAUAAAUCCUCGAUAAUUUUCAUCGUAAAUGAGCUUUUUUAAUCACACCAGGGCCAUAAAAACAUAACUGUGAUGGGGAAGCGGCACCACCCAUUCAGCUGGGUAAACACUCUCGUUCAUGAGACCCUAUCGUAGAUCAUGUGGAUCGUAAAAUUCAACUCCCUGUGGCUAAAGUGUCUGUUGAAAGUGUGUUCUCUUGGUUAGAGAAGUAUUCACACAUUUUAAUUAUAUUUCUCAUUCGGUUCGUGUCCAAUAUUGUGAAUUUUUCAAUACCCCCAACUGGUUUUUAACGCUUUACCUUGAAAUUUACGACGAAAAUAUUCAUCCCUGGUCCAUUAAUUAAGGCCAGAAAAAUAUCGAAUUGAGAGGAAUCUAAGUGGAAUUUCAUUCACGGAAAAAUGGUGAAUGAAAAGUUGUACGAGUUGGGAAUUAUUCGGUUGAUUUCCAAACGCAAUAACUGUCAUUGGCGAGGCAUAAAAAUUAUUCGAAUUUUCACUCUUUUGA